rnacentral:rRNA from 1 species
UACAGAGGGUGCGAGCGUUGUUCGGAAUCAUUGGGCUUAAAGGGCGCGUAGGCGGGUCAGCAAGUCAGGGGUGAAAUCCCACGGCUCAACCGUGGAAGAGCCCGUGAUACUGCUGGUCUUGAGGGAGGUAGGGGCGUGCGGAACUUCCGGUGGAGCGGUGAAAUGCGUAGAUAUCGGAAGGAACACCGGUGGCGAAAGCGGCGCGCUGGACCUCUUCUGACGCUGAGGCGCGAAAGCCAGGGGAGCAAACGGG